AUUUGCAGGCUGAAUGUAUAGCUGAGAAAGAAGACGAAAACGUGUUGAUAAACCUAGAUUAUCCACUAACAUUGAGUGUAAAGAGAAACAAUGGGGUCGCUGACAAGAAAAUACUUUUAUUUUUGUUUGGUAGCGUGUUUCUACCUGUCAGAAACCCAAAACCGUAUAAACUAUGAACUCGGAAAGAAGCUACCAGUUACCCCGUUCCUGAUUUUAAUGGAAUUAGGGUUUCAGAUGUGUCUCAAGGAGUGCGAAGCAUACUCCAAGUGUGUGUCAAUCAACUACCACCUUCAGCAUUUUUUCUGUGAAUUGAACAGCGUCAGGAAAGAUUCCCUUCGUCCUUUGGUCAACGACCAAGAUUAUGCUUACCACGAAAUACCACAUCAGGCUAACAAGACAUGCGGAACGGGCUCCUGUAAGUCUCCCUCGAAAUGUGUUAAAACGUCUUCGGCCAGUUUGUAUGCGUUCCUGUUGAUUGUAUUACAUCAUGGCGCUUCUACGGAGGAAGAAGCUAUUGUUUUAGCAAUCAGACACUUUCUUGGCAAAAUUCCAAGGAAUAUUGUAAUCAGAUGAAUGCCCAUCUGGUAGAGAUUCAAAGUGCUGAGGAAAACCAAAGGAUACUUUCUUUGAUGCAAGUAGUAGACUAUAGUUGGUGUUACUGGAUAGGGUUGACCGAUUUGAAUUCUGAAGGCGUUUGGCUCUGGAACCACUCUCGCACCAAUAACAGUCUGUGGGAUAACUUUUAUACGUACCAAGGUCAAUAUCAUUGUGGAAUGAUAUGUUCGAACACCUGGUAUAGCUGGAGUUGUUCGUCUGAAUAUAACUUUAUAUGUGGAAGGUAGAAAUCAACAAAAAACUUUUACCCGGGGUUAUAAAAUUUUUUCAUACUCGUACUCAAACUUAAACUCGGUAUGUGCCCACUUGGUAUGACUUUAAAAUCCGAGGUUGUAAAAGUGUCAGAGUACGUUCUCCACUAUUUGGAGUAUGCUCCAAAAGCCGGUGGCGGACAUUUUACGUUUCUGAAGUAAGAUAGAAUACGGUAACUUAUGUAAAUAGUCCUGGAAUGUAGGCAAACUGUACAUGUAUUCAGAUUAAGGAUGUCAACGAGUACUCGAGUACUCGACUAUCGCUCGGUCACACAGAUCAUUAACUAAAAUUUUCAUAGUCGAUUACUAAAAAAAGUAAUCAAAAUCAAAAAGAUAUCUUUUCUUAACGCUGUACUUAUGAUGAAAUUCUAACACAUAGUACAGCAACAUUACAAUGUGUAACAAUCCAAUGUGUUUUCACUAAAUUUUCUAUACUACUAUACUACUAUAUUAAAAUAAUUGACUCGAAUUUUUGGGCUUUAAUACCGAGAAAUUGGAAGAAUACUGUCUUUUGUUUUAUAUAUUUUAAACAUCAUUGGUACUUGAAGAUUACCUAUUUGUUUUUAUUUUUUCUCAAUCAAGCUUCGCUAAUUAAUAAUCAACGAAAAUUUCUUUAAAAAAUCCGGAAAUCAUCUGGAUUUUUUUGCAUUUUACAACAAUGCGCAUGCGCAUUACAAUCACGCAAAAUCACGGGAGGCUCUUUAGUUUAUGUUUCCACAAUAUCACAUUUGCAUGGAUAAACUCAGAAACGAUAAUACAAAUACGCGUAAAUUUUCAUUGAAAAUUUGCUAUAUAUUCUGUUCAUCAAAGAAAAUACGGGAGAUAACUCUAACUCUGUGCAUUUUUAAAAUAUGAAAAAUCCCGCGAGUUCUGAAUGUCAACAUAUUGUGUAAAUUUGAAGCGAGUAAAAAAUGUUGCUGAAAAGUGUUGAAUUCUUCAUUAAUAUGAAUAAAAUUUUUAGAUGAAAGGUAUUUGCAGCCUCAAAAUGGUUUGUUAUGAAUAAUUUGACUGUUCUGCAAUUUUUUGUUACAUUACGGGUAUAUGGGAAGCAUUUUAACUGUGGUGAAGGCCUGUCCCGAUACACGAUUACAUGUAGAUUAUUCUAACUAAGCAGAGUGUAGUGAAAUCAAUAGCAUUAUUGUAGGCUUAAAGCUUGGUUAUGUAAAUGUCAACAAUACGGUGUGUUGAUGUAUCUAUUUCGUAAAUGUCCGAUAUCAUAUGCGAUGCCAACACCUGCACGCACGGGUCAAAGUUUAGUAUUGAAUAAAAUGCGUCGAGUUCGACUUUGAAAAAGAGGCCGUUUUGUGCUCAGCCGGAGAACGAGCAUGAGUAUGAUUAAGUUUUACAACCUCUAUACACUGAGUACGAGUACAAUUUGGAGCACGGAGUACGAUUUGGAGUAUGCGUUCGUACUCAAAAAAGUUUUAUAACUUUGGGACCCGAUGACGUGUAGAUGAAAAAUUCAGAUAGUGAUCAAAACAAUAACUUUGGACAGACUAUAGUGAUGAGACUCAAUUUAAAAAAAAUUGUUUCACUUAAUCUCUGAUUGCAAAAAAAGAACGCUUGGUUGGUUGCUCGAUCGAUCAUCACAAUGACAGUACUAUCCUCGUCGUACAGUCACUGCAUUGACCUGAGAUAGCAUUAGAUAUAUGUGUGUAAUAUGAGUAGUAUGACAAAAAUGUAAGGUGUGGACUCUUGUGUUUUGCAUAUAUAACCUUUAUGAAUGGGGUUUGACCGAAAAAAAAAUAUACUUAAAUUCUCAAAAAUGUAACAAAAUGACGUAUUUCUAUGAUCUGCACAGAUUGUUUUAUUGUGAAUUAAGACAUGGAUGAUGCAAUAAAAUCUUAGAAAUCCACGAUUGCUUGUAUUUUAUGAUACCAACAGACUGUCUCUAUUAACAAUGUUUGAAUCAUCUCAAAGAUAAAAACAAGGCAAAUAGGCCACUCAGAAGAGUUCCAACAAGAAUUGGCAUGGAAACGGCAAACCGACC
rnacentral:misc_RNA from 1 species